rnacentral:rRNA from 1 species
UCAGCAACACUGGGACUGAGACACGGCCCAGACUCCUACGGGAGGCAGCAGUGGGGAAUCUUGGACAAUGGGGGCAACCCUGAUCCAGCCAUGCCGCGUGAGUGAUGAAGGCCUUAGGGUCGUAAAGCUCUUUCGCCUGUGAAGAUAAUGACGGUAGCAGGUAAAGAAACCCCGGCUAACUCCGUGCCAGCCGCCGCGGUAAUACGGAGGGGG